rnacentral:rRNA from 1 species
AACAAUCGAAACCGCAAUGGUUUUGAUUUGAAAGGCGCUUUCGGGUGUCGCUGAUGGAUGGACCCGCGGUGCAUUAGCUAGUUGGUGAGGUAACGGCUCACCAAGGCCACGAUGCAUAGCCGACCUGAGAGGGUGAUCGGCCACAUUGGGACUGAGACACGGCCCAAACUCCUACGGGAGGCACCAGUAGGGAAUCUUCGGCAAUGGACGAAAGUCUGACCGAGCAACGCCGCGUGAGUGAAGAAGGUUUUCGGAUCGUAAAACUCUGUUGUUAGAGAAGAACAAGGAUGAGAGUAACUGUUCAUCCCUUGACGGUAUCUAACCACAAAGCCACGGCUAACUACGUGCCAGCAGCCGCGGUAAUACGUACGUGGCAAGCGUUGUCCGGAUUUAUUGGGCGUAAAGCGAGCGCAGGCGGUUUCUUAAGUCUGAUGUGAAAGCCCCCGGCUCAACCGGGGAGGGUCAUUGGAAACUGGGAGACUUGAGUGCAGAUGAGGAGAGUGGAAUUCCAUGUGUAGCGGUGAAAUGCGUAGAUAUAUGGAGGAACACCAGUGGCGAAGGCGGCUCUCUGGUCUGUAACUGACGCUGAGGCUCGAAAGCGUGGGGAGCAAACAGGAUUAGAUACCCUGGUAGUCCACGCCGUAAACGAUGAGUGCUAAGUGUUGGAGGGUUUCCGCCCUUCAGUGCUGCAGCUAACGCAUUAAGCACUCCGCCUGGGGAGUACGACCGCAAGGUUGAAACUCAAAGGAAUUGACGGGGGCCCGCACAAGCGGUGGAGCAUGUGGUUUAAUUCGAAGCAACGCGAAGAACCUUACCAGGUCUUGACAUCCUUUGACCACUCUAGAGAUAGAGCUUCCCCUUCGGGGGCAAAGUGACAGGUGGUGCAUGGUUGUCGUCAGCUCGUGUCGUGAGAUGUUGGGUUAAGUCCCGCAACGAGCGCAACCCUUAUUGUUAGUUGCCAUCAUUCAGUUGGGCACUCUAGCAAGACUGCCGGUGACAAACCGGAGGAAGGUGGGGAUGACGUCAAAUCAUCAUGCCCCUUAUGACCUGGGCUACACACGUGCUUCAAUGGGAAGUACAACGAGUUGGGAAGUCGCGAGGUUAAGGUAAUCUUUUAAA